rnacentral:rRNA from 1 species
UACGGGGGGGGCAAGCGUUGUUCGGAAUUACUGGCGUAAAGGGCUCGUAGGCGGCCAACUAAGUCGGACGUGAAAUCCCCAGGCUCAACCUGGGAACUGCGUCCGAUACUGGAUGGCUUGAAUUCGGGAGAGGGAUGCAGAAUUCCAGGUGUAGCGGUGAAAUGCGUAGAUAUCUGGAGGAAUACCGGUGGCGAAGGCGGCAUCCUGGACCGACAUUGACGCUGAUGAGCGAAAGCUAGGGGAGCAAACGGG